UCGAGAAUCAUUCGCAAUGGGCGAAAGCCUGACGGUGCGACGCCGCGUGGAGGAUGACGGUCCUAGGAUUGUAAACUCCUGUCAUCAGGGAGUAAAGCUCAGGUGUUAAUAGCGCCUUGAGCCUGAUAGUACCUGAAGAGGAAGGGGCGGCUAACUCCGUGCCAGCAGCCGCGGUAACACGGAGGCCUCAAGCGUUGUUCGGAAUUACUGGGCGUAAAGGGUGCGUAGGCGGCGAGGCAAGUCAGAUGUGAAAGCCCGGGGCUCAACCCGGAAUUGCAUCCGAUACUGCCUUGCUUGAGGAUUGGAGAGGAGACUGGAAUUCACGGUGUAGCAGUGAAAUGCGUGGAUAUCGUGAGGAAGGCCAAUGGCGAAGGCAGGUCUCUGGACAAUUCCUGACGCUGAUGCACGAAGGCCAGGGGAGCAAAAAGGAUUAGAUACCCUUGUAGUCCUGGCAGUAAACGGUGCGCGCUUGGUGUGGGGGG
rnacentral:rRNA from 1 species